GAUGAAGAACGUAGCGAAAUGCGAUAAGUAAUGUGAAUUGCAGAAUUCAGUGAACCAUCGAAUCUUUGAACGCACAUUGCGCCCGCCAGUAUUCUGGCGGGCAUGCCUGUUCGAGCGUCAUUACAACCCUCAGGCCCCCGGGCCUGGCGUUGGGGAUCGGCGGAAGCCCCCUGCGGGCACAACGCCGUCCCCCAAAUACAGUGGCGGUCCCGCCGCAGCUUCCAUUGCGUAGUAGCUAACACCUCGCAACUGGAGAGCGGCGCGGCCACGCCGUAAAACACCCAACUUCUGAAUGUUGACCUCGAAUCAGGUAGGAAUACCCGCUGAACUUAAGCAUAUCAAUAAGCGGAGGA
rnacentral:misc_RNA from 1 species